UACAGAGGGUGCGAGCGUUGUCCGGAAUCACUGGGCGUAAAGGGCGCGUAGGUGGCCUGAUAAGUAGGGGGUGAAAUCUCGAGGCUCAACUUCGAGGCUGCCUCCUAAACUGUCAGGCUUGAGCAGAGUAGAGGCAGGUGGAAUUCCCGGUGUAGCGGUGGAAUGCGUAGAUAUCAGGAGGAACACCGGUGGCGAAGGCGGGUCUCUGGGCCGAUACUGACGCUGAGGAGCGAAAGCGUGGGGAGCGAACAGG
rnacentral:rRNA from 1 species